GAAAUGCGAUAAGUAAUGUGAAUUGCAGAAUUCAGUGAAUCAUCGAAUCUUUGAACGCACAUUUCGCCCCUUGGUAUUCCGAGGGGCAUGCCUGUUCGAGCGUCAUUACACCACUCAAGCUAUGCUUGGUAUUGGGUGCCGUCCUUAGUUGGGCGCGCCUUAAAGACCUCGGCGAGGCCUCACCGGCUUUAGGCGUAGUAGAAUUUAUUCGAACGUCUGUCAAAGGAGAGGACUUCUGCCGACUGAAACCUUUUAUUUUUCUAGGUUGACCUCGGAUCAGGUAGGGAUACCCGCUGAACUUAAGC
rnacentral:misc_RNA from 1 species